GGGCAUGAGGGCACUCUGGCUGUGAUGUCUGUCACCCCAUUGAUCUCCAAGUUUGAUGUGGCUGCCAGAGGGGUGUCAUGCUCCUUGCUCACUGCUCCACAUGCGUCCCACCUGGUGCUGCACGCUGGUGGAAGAGGACAACAUUCUCCGACACAAUGGUUAAAUGGUGCAAGUUUUAUAUCAGAGUCCUCUGCUUCAAAUAGAAUAUCAGUUAAUUAUAAAAAUAUUUCAAUUUUUU
rnacentral:sRNA from 1 species